GGGGCUGAUCGGUUUCGACGGUGACCUGUUCGUCGCAGGGAAGCGUGCCGAGGAUGUAGAGUCCACUCGUGAUGACCUCUACAAACAAUUAAGUGCUAAAUCUAACCGCACUGAGCUCGUACUCGCUGCCUGAGCGUUAAGCUAGGAUUAACCAGCGGGCUACGGCUCCGCCCGCUCCCUCUCGUCUUCGGGGGGAUGUCGGACGUCAUUAGAGGACUUGCCUGAGCUGCUGUGCUGCAGGGCGGCUUGGGGACUUUGACUGCGGAUAUGCUCGCCAUCCAUUGUUCGCGACACGGAUGGGGGCAGAAAAACUGCCAUAAGGCCAGCGGACUACGCACGUAGAAUUCUGAGGGUGCGGUCAUCGGACCGGGGUUCAAUUCCCCGCAGCUCCACAA
rnacentral:tmRNA from 1 species